AGUCGAACGGCAGCACGGGAGCAAUCCUGGUGGCGAGUGGCGAACGGGUGAGUAAUAUAUCGGAACGUGCCCAGUCGUGGGGGAUAACGUAGAGAAAUUUACGCUAAUACCGCAUACGAUCUAAGGAUGAAAGCGGGGGAUCGCAAGACCUCGCGCGAUUGGAGCGGCUGAUAUCAGAUUAGGUUGUUGGUGAGGUAAAAGCUCACCAAGCCGACGAUCUGUAGCUGGUUUGAGAGAACGACCAGCCACACUGGGACUGAGACACGGCCCAGACUCCUACGGGAGGCAGCAGUGGGGAAUUUUGGACAAUGGGCGAAAGCCUGAUCCAGCAAUGCCGCGUGCAGGAAGAAGGCCUUCGGGUUGUAAACUGCUUUUGUACGGAACGAAACGGUCUGCCCUAAUACGGUGGGCUAAUGACGGUACCGUAAGAAUAAGCACCGGCUAACUACGUGCCAGCAGCCGCGGUAAUACGUAGGGUGCGAGCGUUAAUCGGAAUUACUGGGCGUAAAGCGUGCGCAGGCGGUUAUAUAAGACAGUUGUGAAAUCCCCGGGCUCAACCUGGGAAUUGCAUCUGUGACUGUAUAGCUAGAGUACGGUAGAGGGGGAUGGAAUUCCGCGUGUAGCAGUGAAAUGCGUAGAUAUGCGGAGGAACACCGAUGGCGAAGGCAAUCCCCUGGACCUGUACUGACGCUCAUGCACG
rnacentral:rRNA from 1 species